AGGCAUUGAGGCAGCCAGCGCAGGGGCUUCUGCUGAGGGGGCAGGCGGAGCUUGAGGAAACCGCAGAUAACUGACCCAGGUGCUACACAGAAGUGGAUUCAGUGAAUCUAGGAAGACAGCAGCAGACAGGAUUCCAGGAACCAGUGUUUGAUGAAGCUAGGACUGAGGAGCAAGCGAGCAAGCAGCAGUUCGUGGUGAAGAUAGGAAAAGAGUCCAGGAGCCAGUGCGAUUUGGUGAAGGAAGCUAGGAAGAAGGAAGGAGCGCUAACGAUUUGGUGGUGAAGCUAGGAAAAAGGAUUCCAGGAAGGAGCGAGUGCAAUUUGGUGAUGAAGGUAGCAGGCGGCUUGGCUUGGCAACCACACGGAGGAGGCGAGCAGGCGUUGUGCGUAGAGGAUCCUAGACCAGCAUGCCAGUGUGCCAAGGCCACAGGGAAAGCGAGUGGUUGGUAAAAAUCCGUGAGGUCGGCAAUAUGUUGUUUUUCUGGAACUUACUUAUGGUAACCUUUUAUUUAUUUUCUAAUAUAAUGGGGGAGUUUCGUACUGAGGUGUAAAGGGAUUUAUAUGGGGACGUAGGCCGAUUUCCGGGUGUUGUAGGUUUCUCUUUUUCAGGCUUAUACUCAUGAAUCUUGUCUGAAGCUUUUGAGGGCAGACUGCCAAGUCCUGGAGAAAUAGUAGAUGGCAAGUUUGUGGGUUUUUUUUUUUUACACGAAUUUGAGGAAAACCAAAUGAAUUUGAUAGCCAAAUUGAGACAAUUUCAGCAAAUCUGUAAGCAGUUUGUAUGUUUAGUUGGGGUAAUGAAGUAUUUCAGUUUUGUGAAUAGAUGACCUGUUUUUACUUCCUCACCCUGAAUUCGUUUUGUAAAUGUAGAGUUUGGAUGUGUAACUG
rnacentral:lncRNA from 1 species